rnacentral:rRNA from 1 species
UGGGGAAUAUUGCACAAUGGGCGCAAGCCUGAUGCAGCCAUGCCGCGUGUGUGAAGAAGGCCUUCGGGUUGUAAAGCACUUUCAGCGGGGAGGAAGGCGGUAAGGUUAAUAACCUUGGCGAUUGACGUUACCCGCAGAAGAAGCACCGGCUAACUCCGUGCCAGCAGCCGCGGUAAUACGGAGGGUGCAAGCGUUAAUCGGAAUUACUGGGCGUAAAGCGCACGCAGGCGGUCGAUCAAGUCGGAUGUGAAAUCCCCGGGCUCAACCUGGGAAGUGCAUUUGAAACUGGCAGGCUAGAGUCUUGUAGAGGGGGGUAGAAUGCCAGGUGUAGCGGUGAAAUGCGUAGAGAUCUGGAGGAAUACCGGUGGCGAAGGCGGCCCCCUGGACAAAGACUGACGCUCAGGUGCGAAAGCGUGGGGAGCAAACAGG